CGGACGAGGAAGUGACUGCUAGCCUGACAGUCUAUCACCACCAGGGAGUGACAGUUUAAAAAAGAAAAGAUUCCGGUUAUGAGUAGAUUUAUCACGUGUCUGGGAGUGGGACCGGCCCCUGACCUGGAGGCACCACCGCAGCGCCUUGUGAUGCAGUGUUGCUCGGAGACCUGGGCAGUCCCAGCUGAGGUCACACCUACUCUGCGCCCUGAAUGCCACCUCCUGCUGUCUGUGCGUCUGGGUCCAGGGUAGAUGCAUCAUUGCUACAGAGCUGCUGCAGGCAUCGCCCGAGACAACAAGGACCCACCCUUCCACAUUGAUUUCAUCGGUGACUGAAACCCUAAACUUGAAGGGACGGCCGGAAGGUAAUUCACUCUCUACGCUUUGCUCAAUCCUGACCCAUUAUCAAUUGAGUUGAAAUAUGUCAGCACAGGGAGAUAUUGAGUAUUAUUUUUCAGGAGGCUUUGGUGAGUGAAUAACACACAUGCAUUUACCUACCCAAGUGCUGUCCAGCCGACUUAUGAUUUAUUCAUUCCUGUAGUGCCCGUCAUCUGCACCAGAAUAUUCUCCAAGAGAGUGCCACGUUCCUGGGGGCACCGUGCCGGCCUUGGGCAGAGGAGGUCAC